CCUACGGGUGGCAGCAGUGAGGAAUAUUGGUCAAUGGGCGCGAGCCUGAACCAGCCAAGUCGCGUGAGGGAAGACGGUCCUAUGGAUUGUAAACCUCUUUUGUCGGGGAGCAAAAGCCGCCACGCGUGGCUUUCCGAGAGUACCCGAAGAAAAAGCAUCGGCUAACUCCGUGACAGCAGCCGCGGUAAUACGGGGGAUGCGAGCGUUAUCCGGAUUUAUUGGGUUUAACGGGUGCGCAGGCGGAAGAUCAAGUCAGCGGUAAAAUUGAGGGGCUCAACCUCUUCGAGCCGUUGAAACUGGUGUUCUUGAGUGAGUGAGAAGUAUGCGGAAGGCGUGGUGUAGCGGUGAAAUGCAUAGAUAUCACGCAGAACUCCGAUUGCGAAGGCAGCAUACCGGCGCUCAACUGACGCUGAGGCACGAAAGUGUGGGUAUCGAACAGGAUUAGAUACCCGUGUAGUC
rnacentral:rRNA from 1 species